ensembl:snRNA U6 U6 spliceosomal RNA
GUUCUCAUUUCGGCAGCACAUACACUAAAGUUGGAACAAUACAGAGAAGAUGAGCAUGGCCUCUGUGCAAGGAGGACACAUAAUUUCAUUAAUUGUUCCAUUACAAA